rnacentral:rRNA from 1 species
GAUGAACGCUGGCGGCGUGCCUAAUACAUGCCAGUCGAGCGAACAGACGAGGAGCUUGCUCCUCUGACGUUAGCGGCGGACGGGUGAGUAACACGUGGAUAACCUACCUAUAAGACUGGGAUAACUUCGGGAAACCGGAGCUAAUACCGGAUAAUAUAUUGAACCGCAUGGUUCAAUAGUGAAAGACGGUUUUGCUGUCACUUAUAGAUGGAUCCGCGCCGCAUUAGCUAGUUGGUAAGGUAACGGCUUACCAAGGCGACGAUGCGUAGCCGACCUGAGAGGGUGAGCGGCCACACGGGAACUGGGACACCGUCCAGACCCCCACGGGAGGCAGGAGGGGGGAAUCUUCCGAAAGGGGCGAAAGCCUGACGGAACAACCGCGCGGGAGGGAUGAAGGUCUUCGGAUCGUAAAACUCUUUUAUUGGGGAAAAAAAAAUGUGUAAGUAACUAUGCACGUCUGGACGGUACCUAAUCAGAAAGCCACGGCUAACUACGU